UACGAAGGGGGCUAGCGUUGUUCGGAAUUACUGGGCGUAAAGCGCACGUAGGCGGAAUGUUAAGUCAGGGGUGAAAUCCCGGGGCUCAACCCCGGAACUGCCUUUGAUACUGGCAUUCUCGAGUCCGGAAGAGGUGAGUGGAAUUCCGAGUGUAGAGGUGAAAUUCGUAGAUAUUGGGAAGAACACCAGUGGCGAAGGCGGCUAACUGGUCCAGAUCUGACGCUGAGGUGCGAAAGCGUGGGGAGCAAACAGG
rnacentral:rRNA from 1 species